GACACGGUCCCCACUCUUACGGGAGGCAGCAGUGGGGAAUAUUGGGCAAUGGGGGGAACCCUGACCCAGCAACGCCGCGUGAGGGAAGAAGGUUUUUUGAUUGUAAACCUUUGUUCUUGGGGAAGAGUGAAAGACGGCACCCAAGGAGGAAGCCCCGGCUAACUACGUGCCAGCAGCCGCGGUAAUACGUAGGGGGCGAGCGUUGUCCGGAAUGAUUGGGCGUAAAGGGCGCGUAGGCGGCUUUGCAAGUCAGUAGUGGAAGUCCAUUUUUCAAGGAUGGAAGUGCAUCAGAAACUGCGGAGCUUGAGUGCAGGAGAGGUAAUCGGAAUUCCCGGUGUAGCGGUGAAAUGCGUAGAGAUCGGGAGGAACACCAGUGGCGAAGGCGGGUUACUGGACUGUAACUGACGCUGAGGCGCGAAAGUGUGGGGAGCAAACAGGAUUAGAUACCCUGGUAGUCCACACUGUAAACGAUGGAUGCUAGGUGUGGGAGGUAUCGACCCCUUCCGU
rnacentral:rRNA from 1 species